UACGUAGGGCGCAAGCGUUGUCCGGAAUUAUUGGGCGUAAAGAGCUUGUAGGCGGUUUGUCGCGUCUGCUGUGAAAUUUCGGGGCUCAACCCCGAACUGCAGUGGGUACGGGCAGACUAGAGUGUGGUAGGGGAGACUGGAAUUCCUGGUGUAGCGGUGAAAUGCGUAGAUAUCGUAAGGAAGACCAGUGGCGAAGGCGGGUCUCGUGGACAGUUCCUGACGGCUGAGGCACGAAGGUCAGGGGAGCAAACGGG
rnacentral:rRNA from 1 species